rnacentral:rRNA from 1 species
UAUCGGAGGAAAAGAAACCAACCGGGAUUGCCUUAGUAACGGCGAGUGAAGCGGCAAAAGCUCAAAUUUGAAAUCUGGUACCUUCGGUGCCCGAGUUGUAAUUUGGAGAGGGCAACUUUGGGGCCGUUCCUUGUCUAUGUUCCUUGGAACAGGACGUCAUAGAGGGUGAGAAUCCCGUGUGGCGAGGAGUGCGGUUCUUUGUAAAGUGCCUUCGAAGAGUCGAGUUGUUUGGGAAUGCAGCUCUAAGUGGGUGGUAAAUUCCAUCUAAAGCUAAAUAUUGGCGAGAGACCGAUAGCGAACAAGUACAGUGAUGGAAAGAUGAAAAGAACUUUGAAAAGAGAGUGAAAAAGUACGUGAAAUUGUUGAAAGGGAAGGGCAUUUGAUCAGACAUGGUGUUUUGUGCCCUCUGCUCCUUGUGGGUAGGGGAAUCUCGCAUUUCACUGGGCCAGCAUCAGUUUUGGUGGCAGGAUAAAUCCAUAGGAAUGUAGCUUGCCUCGGUAAGUAUUAUAGCCUGUGGGAAUACUGCCAGCUGGGACUGAGGACUGCGACGUAAGUCAAGGAUGCGCGGGCAAAGUAAC